rnacentral:misc_RNA from 1 species
UCCCGACUCGGGAUAGAUAAAACAAUUAUAAAAGUGAUCUAGCAGUCAGUGCUCAAAGGUAAGUGUUGUCUAGUGUCAUGUAUCUUCUUGAAUUUGAGGACAUCAAAAUCAUCCGGAUCGUCGUCGAAAAGAAAAUUCAUUCCUCUUCAGAGAAAAUAGUCCGGUGAAUCAAACACAGAUGAGAUCGACGAGGCGGGAAACCAUAACUGGAAAAACUCUGGAUCCUAGGCAACGUAAAGGCUGAUUCCCUCUGAGAACCGGCACAGGAAACAGGAAAAAGGAAUGGGUGACUGAAUCCAAGACUUCUUCAGAAACAGCACACCCUAGAGUUUGGAGGACAAAUGGGCAUUAUCACACAAAUGUCUCCCGGAUAACAUCGAAGAUCUUUCUGAAAAGGAAAUCUCUGAUUUCCUCGAUUCCAAAUGGGAAGAAAUGUCAUGUGGCAAGUUAGAGGGAUUCCAAGAAAAAGGCAGAACAGACUAUUUUUGCCGAUCUUGCUUCAUCCUCCACUCAGAACCCGAGUUAUUGGACCACAAAAUAUCCUUUCACCUCACGUUCCACGAGGAAAAGGCAAAAUGUUGGUUCUGCGGCCAAAGUCUGUUCGUCACAAAAAGAGGGACGAGUGGAUGCAACGAAUGCAAAAAGGUGAAAGACGAAAUUAAGAAAAUUAAAAAUGUUACUCGUUACUUUCUUCCUUAAUUUUAUUGUUUGUUGAAAUUGGAAUAAAGUUUCUUAUUGAAUAAAUCCCUUUUUUUAAACGCCAAACAAGAAAUUUCUCUAACCUUGUCCGUGUGUUAUUGCAAAAAAAAAAAACUAGAAUAAACUUGGUCGGCUGUGGAUUCUGCAUUGAUAACCAAAACAGGAGCCGACAAAGAAGAAAAG